UCGGCUUGCGUACUAACUAAACAUAUAACUGCAUGUCCUCAGGCUGCCGCGAUCAGUUGCAUAAUGGAUGGAGUUCCUUAAGACUAAUGCUCGUCAUGCGUCACUACUUCCGAAGAGAGGUCGCCGGCAAACUGACGGCGCUCGAAUGAGGAAUGAGAGGAAAAAGAUAUUCAUCAGAAGUAUUAAUGAACGUUGGAACCUCACCGUCUUUGGGGAUCACAUGGCCAAGGGAUAUUGCUCGCGAAAUCCUUCCUACAGCGUAUCGCCUAUCGCCUUCUUGACAUAUUUUUUUUCUUUUGUGUCCCUUAUCACGAUAGCAGAUAUAUUCUCCUUCGCAGUGAUAUAUACGACCUAUCGUCCCCAAUACUCGUUUAUUUAUCAAGGAUGAGAACUCUGGAGAUUGAACUGCCAAUGAGCUCUACGAGCUGAGGGAUCUAACAGAGAACGAGAGCUGAGUUGAACCAGUACGAGAUGCUUACAUUGAGAUCAAUUAGACAGAUAUUGUCGGAAUUCGUCUUCCAAGAAGACGAGACUCGCGUUGAGGCUGUGAAAGUUGGUAUAACCGAUAUGCACCACAUUGUGGGCUUGCAGAAGGAUUCCAUGGGGGUGGCAGACCUUGGAACUUCAGUCGAAUGGUAUCUGCGUGACGAGGUGAAGGAUAGUGAUGGGCAUAAGACUGAGCUUGGGAGGGGGGAGAUUGGUGAAGAUCUACGAGUUCCCCCAAGUGAAAAGGAUACUUGACCUUAACUAAGGGAACAUUUCUUUCAGUGGAAAACACAUUUUGCAAGGGAAAACAGAUAGAUGGCCAACAAACGUACCGCCCUAACUCUUUUUCCCAAAUAUUUGCUUUGCUUAUUCCACACCGAGACCGAAAAAUCGCAAAGACCGACUUGCCUACCCAUGUGAUCCUAAUAAAGUCAAUUCGAAAGACUGGAGACUCAAGACUUUAAAGAUUAACGUUUCUAUUGACGUGCGACCUUUUAUUACAAAACACGCACAUCCCAUCACAAGUAAAGGUAAGUGAGUGAGCAAUGAGCAUGUGGGUGAUGGUCUAGUUGGCGCAAAUAGUGUCAGAAUUUUUUGUGGGAGAUAAAGGGAGGGGGUGCCUCGA
rnacentral:sRNA from 1 species